GACGAACCGUGCGAACGUUAUUCGGAAUCACUGGGCUUAAAGCGCGUGUAGGCGGGCCGGCACGUCGGUCGCUGAAAUCCCCCGGCUCAACCGGGGAAGGGGCGCCGAUACGACCGGCCUGGAGGGACGUAGGGGGGGCCGGAACUUCCGGUGGAGCGGUGAAAUGCGUAGAGAUCCGGAGGAACACCGACGGCGUAGGCAGCGCCCUGGCUGUGAAUAAAGCUGACACUGAGGCACGAAAGCUGGGGGAGCAAACAGG
rnacentral:rRNA from 1 species